CCAUUGGAUUUAUUAAAAUCCACCCAACCAACCAAGUAUAUAUUUAU
rfam:Gorilla gorilla gorilla genomic chromosome, chr2B, whole genome shotgun sequence